CCUACGGGGGGCAGCAGUGAGGAAUAUUGGUCAAUGGACGAGAGUCUGAACCAGCCAAGUAGCGUGAAGGAUGACUGCCCUAUGGGUUGUAAACUUCUUUUAUAAAGGAAUAAAACGAGGCACGUGUGCCUUUUUGCAUGUACUUUAUGAAUAAGGAUCGGCUAACUCCGUGCCAGCAGCCGCGGUAAUACGGAGGAUCCGAGCGUUAUCCGGAUUUAUUGGGUUUAAAGGGAGCGUAGAUGGGUUGUUAAGUCAGUUGUGAAAUUUUGCGGCUCAACCGUAAAAUUGCAAUUGAUACUGGCAGUCUUGAGUACAGUUGAGGUAGGCGGAAUUCGUGGUGUAGCGGUGAAAUGCGUAGAUAUCACGAAGAACCCCGAUUGCGAAGGCAGCUUACUAAACUGUGACUGACAUUGAUGCUCGAAAGUGUGGGUAUCAAACAGGAUUAGAUACCCUGGUAGUC
rnacentral:rRNA from 1 species